GUGGUGUCUGGAGUAUUAAACUCACGUGCUGUUGUGUUAUUAAUCUCUUUGUUGGAAGCCAGUUGAUUUCCCCUGCCUGUGUCUGUCAAUUAAAUAUUCAGCAUUGCAGCCACAAUUGAACGGUUGAUGUUUUGGCACGCAAAACCUUUUGGAGACAGACUGUUGACAGUUUCCUUACAUGCCAUACCAUUUCCAAAAAGCCAAGCGGGCUAGCAAACUAAGACCUCUGCCAGGGACUCCGAGAUGCCUGCGAGCACUUCAAUUUUUCACAGAAAUGAGCUGAGCGAGACGCCUGCACCGGGUGCAAGAAGGGGAGAGGGAAGAAAAGCCAGAACCGCUGGUAAAGCCGACAGCCGAGCAACGCAAACCUUCCAUCUGUGUGCUGGCAAACCACUGCUGGGCCAAAUCCUCUGCCGAGAUUAACUGAACCAAUUGAGUUUAUGUUACUAGUGAAUUUUGCCCAUCAUUUUUGGAGACCGACUGAUCUCGCGACAUUUUCACCACCUUCCCAUCUG